rnacentral:rRNA from 1 species
CCUACGGGAGGCAGCAGUGGGGAAUCUUGCGCAAUGGGCGAAAGCCUGACGCAGCAACGCCGCGUGCGGGAAGAAGGCUUUCGGGCUGUAAACCGCUUUCAGCAGGAACGAAAAUGACGGUACCUGCAGAAGAAGGAGCGGCCAACUAUGUGCCAGCAGCCGCGGUGAUACAUAGGCUUCAAGCGUUGUCCGGAUUUAUUGGGCGUAAAGAGUUCGUAGGCGGUCGAGUAAGUCGGGUGUGAAAAUUCUGGGCUCAACCCAGAGACGCCACCCGAUACUGCUUGACUUGAGUUCGAUAGGGGAGUGGGGAAUUCCUAGUGUAGCGAUGAAAUGCGCAGAUAUUAGGAGGAACACCGGUGGCGAAGGCGCCACUCUGGAUCGAUACUGACGCUGAGGAACGAAAGCAUGGGUAGCAAACAGGAUUAGAUACCCUGGUAGUCCAUGCCGUAAACGGUGGGCACUAGGUGUGGGUUUCUAUUAACGAAAUCCGCGCCGUCGCUAACGCAUUAAGCGCCCCGCCUGGGGAGUACGGUCGCAAGACUAAAACUCAAAUGAAUUGACGG